CACGUUUUCUGUUCUGUCGCCCUUGCCUGGAGUCGUGUGGUUUGGGUUUUUCUAUUCCAGUCCUUUCUCUGCUUAAACCCAGUUCGGGUGUAGCGAGAUACGUCAUAGCGGGAGCUCUUUCAUAUCAGUCAAAUUGACCCAGUUGAGGGGAAGUGCCUCUCGGCUUAUGUCCAGCGUGGAGCCGUGGAGUGGGGCAAUAUUUGGCCGGACGUACGGAUCCAGACUGCGCUGCUGUUUUGUCUCUACGGGCUGAGAGUUCUCCCUUUGGGGACC